AAAUUGAAGAGUUUGAUCAUGGCUCAGAUUGAACGCUGGCGGCAGGCCUAACACAUGCAAGUCGAACGGUAACAGGAAGCAGCUUGCUGCUUCGCUGACGAGUGGCGGACGGGUGAGUAAUGUCUGGGAAACUGCCUGAUGGAGGGGGAUAACUACUGGAAACGGUGGCUAAUACCGCAUAAUGUCGCAAGACCAAAGAGGGGGACCUUCGGGCCUCUUGCCAUCAGAUGUGCCCAGAUGGGAUUAGCUUGUUGGUGAGGUAACGGCUCACCAAGGCGACGAUCCCUAGCUGGUCUGAGAGGAUGACCAGCCACACUGGAACUGAGACACGGUCCAGACUCCUACGGGAGGCAGCAGUGGGGAAUAUUGCACAAUGGGCGCAAGCCUGAUGCAGCCAUGCCGCGUGUAUGAAGAAGGCCUUCGGGUUGUAAAGUACUUUCAGCGGGGAGGAAGGUGUUGUGGUUAAUAACCACAGCAAUUGACGUUACCCGC
rnacentral:rRNA from 1 species